AUGGUUGCUCCUUCUUGCAGUUGUGAUGGUUUGCGGCGUCCCGGGCGUCCUCGUGGCUCCCGUGCUCUUUCGGUUGGUCGUCGCGAUGGCUCAGAGCGUGGUGCUGGUUCUACUGAUUCGCCGGAUAGUGCUACGUUUGCUCAUCGUCGUCCGUCUUGUCGGUCUGGUCAUCGUGCGCGUGGGUUGUCUUCUUCGUGUGCUUUCUCCCUGCCGUCUUCCGUUUCGAUGGAUAUUGAUAUGUCAUCUGGUGGGUGUAGUCGUCCUUCUGUUGCUUCUCGCAGGGAGGAGAUUCGUUUGGGCAAGCGGCCCGUUGAUUGUGCUCUUGAUGUAUCUUCUUGUGGGUCGGAGACGUCUCGACACGAUGUUAUUGCUUCUGUUGCCUCUUUGCCUCCUACUAUAGACUAUGAUAAUUCUAUUCCUGUUGUUGAAGAGGCUACUGUUGCGUCUGGUGCUUCCUAUUUUUCUGAUUGGUUGCGUGCUUCUUUGGUGGUUACUCAUCCACGUGUUGUUCCGCUUCGAUGUGCCGGUUCUUCUUUUCGAUCCGUUCCGUUAGUUUUGCCCACGCCGGCUGUCGAUGUUGCUGAUAGUGAUCAUGCUCGACGCAAAAGGAAAAUGAUUCGAUCAUACGGGUCUGGGAGGAGUAAAGUUGUUCAGAGGGGCCGUUCGUAUUAUGGUAGUCCGGAUCUUACAUGUCAGUGGUGUGGGGCUUUUUAUUGGUUCCAUGAGGGUUCAACUUAUCACCCGGCUUCUACUAUUCGAAGACCUGUUUAUACGGGAUGUUGUCGUGGUGGCAAGGUUUCUUUGCCGAAGUUUCGUCCUUGGCCUUCGCCAUUGGAUAGAUUGAUACGGUUUGAUGGAGACAUGACUUCCAAUAGGUUCAUGCGGUUGAUUAAGCAGUACAAUUCAAUGUUUUGUUUUACGUCCUUGGGUGCUUCUAUUGACAACAGAAUCAAUGUUGGUGGUGCCCCCUAUGUGUUUAAGAUGAAUGGGGUGGUAUAUCACCGUAUUGGACCUCUUGUGCCUCCUCAUGGUUUUUCGCGAAAUUUGCUCAGUUAUAUAUGA
rnacentral:rRNA from 1 species